rnacentral:rRNA from 1 species
UACAGAGGUCUCAAGCGUUGUUCGGAUUCAUUGGGCGUAAAGGGUGUGUAGGUGGCGCCGUUAGUCGGGUGUGAAAUUUCGGAGCUUCAACUCCGAAACUGCAUUCGAUACUGCGGUGCUUGAGGACUGGAGAGGAGACUGGAAUUCAUGGUGUAGCAGUGAAAUGCGUAGAGAUCAUGAGGAAGACCAGUGGCGAAGGCGGGUCUCUGGACAGUUCCUGACACUGAGACACGAAGGCCAGGGGAGCAAACGGG